rnacentral:rRNA from 1 species
AGUGAACGCUGGCGGUAGGCCUAACACAUGCAAGUCGAACGGCAGCACAGUAAGAGCUUGCUCUUACGGGUGGCGAGUGGCGGACGGGUGAGGAAUACAUCGGAAUCUACUUUUUCGUGGGGGAUAACGUAGGGAAACUUACGCUAAUACCGCAUACGACCUACGGGUGAAAGCAGGGGAUCUUCGGACCUUGCGCGAUUGAAUGAGCCGAUGUCGGAUUAGCUAGUUGGCGGGGUAAAGGCCCACCAAGGCGACGAUCCGUAGCUGGUCUGAGAGGAUGAUCAGCCACAUUGGAACUUGAACACGGUCCAGACUCCUACGGGAGGCAGCAGUGGGGAAUAUUGGACAAUGGGCGCAAGCCUGAUCCAGCCAUACCGCGUGGGUGAAGAAGGCCUUCGGGUUGUAAAGCCCUUUUGUUGGGAAAGAAAAGCAGCAGGUUAAUACCCCGCUGUUCUGACGGUACCCAAAGAAUAAGCACCGGCUAACUUCGUG